GUGAAAAAUUUCAAACUACCCUACAGCACUAGUUUAAAAGAUUCUGGGGAAAAGAAGAAUUCUUCUCUAGUCAUGUAAUUAUAUAUGUUUUAAGGCUACUACAAUUAAAACUGUGCUAAGACAGGGUGCAUCAAAAGCAGGGGAGAAGAAUAGAACGCACAGGUAGAUACUUGUGUGCUGUUAAGUAACAUAUGAAUUAAAAUUAAGAUUAUGCUAGCAUUUCAAACAACAAAGAAAAAAAUAAUUAUUGAAUAACCAUGUUGACAAACUGUUUAUCUCUGCUGGGGGGGUGUGUGGCAUGAAUGCUAAUAUACUAUUUCACACUUCAUUAUUCAAAAAUAAAAUGACCCAACCAGCUAAAAUUUAAAGAGAUGUAAGAAUAUGAAAGUGAACAUUUCCACAUGCCUAAACAAGCAGAAAUUCCUCUAAAUGUGACAUAAAUGCAAAAGCCAUAGUGAAAAAUACAAGUAUUACUUAGUAUAAAAAUAUAAAAAUUUAGUCAGGCAUGGAGGCACACGCCUUUAAUUCCAGCACUCAGGAGGCAGAGCCAGGAAGAUCUCUGAAGUUGAGGCUAGCCUAGUCUACAGAGAAAGUUCAAGAACAGCCAGGGCUAUACAGAGAAACCCUGUCUCGACCGUGCCCCCUAAAUAAAAAUGUAUGCAGUACAAAAGAAAUGUUAAUGUGACAACUAGAAACCACUCACAGUAAGAAGGAAAGAUCCAAUGCCUGCCAACAGCAGCUCUACUGAACAACAAUGCACUUAUCAAUAAGUUUGUGCUUCAUUGUUCUCGGAGCUCCAGAUCAGCUCAGGGCUUUACUCACACAAGGCCAGAGUGGAUUUGCUCUGAAGAACACUAGAAAGAAUACUGCCUCCAGCCUCAAACUCUCACUUUGAAACCCUACAAAUCAAUGCUCUUCUGUAGAGCUGGGUGUCUGUCAUAGCAACCUAACUUCACAAGGUUUUCAUCAUCAUAAACAGAAAGUCCUGGUGCAUUGGCAAUCAGAUCAGAUGUCACUCAAGGUCCCCUUUGCUACUUCCUGGCAACAGCCAAUCUAAUCUAUGUCUCCAUAGUUUGGUCGUGUUGGAACAUUUCAAGGACAUUGACCCAUAUACUAUGUGGCCUCUUUAUGACUGGCUCCUUUUACGGAGCAUACUGUUUUCCAAGUUCAUCUAUGCUGUAGCAUGUAUCAGUACUUCAUUUUCUAUGGUUAAAUAAUAUUGCUUUGAAUGGACAUACCAUAUUUCAUUUACCCUUUCACAAGGUAGUGGGCAUUUGGGUGAUUUCUCCUUUUUUGUUAUUUGAUAUGUAAUAAUGUCAUCAUAUUAUAUAAUGUUAUUAUAAUGUUUUAUAAAUGUAUGUUAUUUAUAACGUGUACUAUAAAUAAUAUACAUUAUUUUAUAAUGUUAUUAUAAAUAAUGUUAUUAUAAAUGUUUGUAUGCAAGUUUUUGCAGGGAUAGAUUUUUUUAUGUUUUCUUGGAUAUAUAAGUAUGACUGGAAUGUGCAUGUGUUAGGGGCCAUCUUCCUCUCUUUCUACCACCUUAUUUUUUUUUAGAAGGGAUCUCUCCCUGAACUUGGAGUUUGAUGUUUUAUUGAGGCCAGUGGGCAACGGGCCCCAGCUUUAGCUGUUUCUCCUCAACCCCAGCACUGAAGUAAGAGGCACGUUGCCUCCAUGUCUGGCUGUUACGUGCUUCCUGGGGGUCUGAGCUCAGCUCCUCACGCUUGGGAAACAAGCACUUCACCACUUCCCCAGCCUACAUAAGCAAUCCUAUAAUAACAUUUAUGUUUAGCUUUUUAAAGAACUUGCCAAAUACAUGAAUGUGCUAAUUAUGUCAGAACCUCACCAACACAUUCUUUUGUCUGACUAGAAGAUCAGAUUGUGUGUUAAAUGAUAUUGCACUUUCCAUCUUUACAUGCAAUUGGCAUUUUGGAUAUCUUCUUUGAAAACAUGCCUGUUUUAUUACCUGUUUUAUGAUUAGGGUAUUUGCGUUUUGUUGUUGAGUCUUAUGUUCUCUCUCCCUUUCUCUGCAGUAUCUUGGAAUUUUAAACCAUGUGUCCAUAAUUAUUUUUCAAAAAUUGAUAAUGAAUUAAAAGAUCUAUGUGUAAUAUUAUUUUAAAAUUCAAAUUUAUAUAAAUGAAAUGAGUAUCCCUUUAUAAGUAAAACCAAACUCUUUCCUUGCUACACUUGUUCUGUCUGAUUCCUUACAGCCUUGACAAGGGCUGUACCUCCUUACUAGGAGAGGGUACUGAAGACCCUGCACCACAAUGGCCAGGAUGUGGGCAAACCAGGAUCUGAGGUCUCCAUCCUCUAUUUGAUCUCAGUCCAGAUCUCGGAACAACGGAAGCAAUUCUUUGUACUUUAUUGACGAUGCCUUUGAAGCUACAGGCUCUUCAUUUGAAGUUGUUUCUCUAGUUUGUAGAUUGUUGUCUGCACUUUCUUGCUACUGUAUUUUUUAGACAGGAUCUCAUAUACCCUAGGCUGGCCUCAGACUGUAGCACCAUACCCCUGGUUUGUUUGCCAUAUUUUCAAUGUCAUAUCUAAGAAGCUAUCACCUGACUUAUGGUCAUAAAGCUUUAUUUCUGUGUUUCUAAUGUGAGCACAUGGCUCUUAUGUGUUGGUCUGUGCUCCAUUUAGAGUUAAGUCUUAUAUGAGGCAGUGGUUUGUGCUUACAGUCUUGCCUGUAAAAGGAUUGAGACUCUUAAUAUAUUCAGAACACUUUAUUUAAAAGAAGUACAGCAUGCCAAUAAUAAAAUGGACAAAUGGUGUUGAAUAGGCAAUUCCGACUAACUGACCUGUGAAGAGAUAUUAAGUAUAUUAAUAAUCAAAAUGCAAAUUAAAAUCAUGAAUUAUCAUUUACAUUCAAUGAAGCUAGCAGAAAAAAAACCCAGCAUUUACAGUGAUGACAUGUAUUUUUAGACUUUUGAAGUAAUGUUGAAUGUUAAUUUUGUGUGUAUGGAAAAAUGUACACUCUAUACUGAAAUAAAAAUAAGCUGUAGAGAGGUGAUAUUAUCCUAUACACAGCCAGUUUUCAAAAUGAAUGUCAACUGGGGAUACAUGGGUGUAUGUGUUGCAUUCAUGUGUAAAUGUAUAUGCAUAUAUAUGAUGUAUGUGUGCAUGUGUGUGAUGGGCAUGUACACAUAUAUGCACAUAUGUGUGUAUAAUGUGUAUGUAUGCAUAUGCACAUAUGUGUGCAUAAUGUGUCAGGAAGAAAGUCUUUUCUUUGUGCUUCCUUGUGUACUCUGAUUUUUUAAAAACUUUUUAUUGAUUCUUUGUGAGUUUCACAUUAUGUAGCCCAAUCCUACUUACACUUAUGUCCCCAUCCCUUUGUAUCUGCCCUCUGCCUUUGCAAUCUUCCCAUAAAAGAAAAUAAAAAAAAUAAUCAAAACAUAAAAAUCAUGAUGUGUGUGGUAGCUCUGCACAGUCCUUGGAUAGAUAUCACCAUGAUCCCAGGAGGCAGCCCAGACCAAGGACAUCCACAUGGUCAUUAGAGGUAAUAUAAGACACCUACAGAAGCACAGACCCUUGUUGCUUCAUGGGCACGGAGCCUGACAUGGCCCUUAGCAGCAGCACAGGCUGGGACUUCACCAUGCCCUCGGGUGGCAGGGCAGGCUACUCACAUCUGGCAGUUCCUUUCCACCCUCACAUCUCCAAUUCCACCUCUCUCCACAGUGCUUCUCUUUCUCUCCCAUCUCUCCACCACACACUUGCACAUCUCAGUGGCUCCUGCUGUGGGUGGGCCACGUGGCUGGUGGGCCUCUGGGUGUCUUCCCCUGCCCAUGCUGUGUGACUUAGCUGCAGCCAGGCCUCCGUACUGUGAUUUUUUUCUUUUAUUGAGCAGCAAUUCACUCUAUUGCUAGAAAAAUGUAUAAAACGUUCUAAAGUUUUCUAACAUAAUCCCCACGUUUGUUUCAAACACACACACACACACACACACACACA
rnacentral:lncRNA from 1 species